rnacentral:rRNA from 1 species
CAGGCCUAACACAUGCAAGUCGAACGGCAGCACAGUGUGUAGCAAUACACAUGGGUGGCGAGUGGCGGACGGGUGAGUAAUGCAUAGGAAUCUGCCCAGUAGCGGGGGACAACCCGGAGAAAUCCGGGCUAAUACCGCAUACGCCCUACGGGGGAAAGCGGGGGACCGAAAGGCCUCGCACUAUUGGAUGAGCCUAUGUCGGAUUAGCUAGUUGGCAGGGUAACGGCCUACCAAGGCGACGAUCCGUAGCUGGUCUGAGAGGACGAUCAGCCACACCGGAACUGAGACACGGUCCGGACUCCUACGGGAGGCAGCAGUGGGGAAUAUUGGACAAUGGGGGCAACCCUGAUCCAGCAAUGCCGCGUGUGUGAAGAAGGCCUGCGGGUUGUAAAGCACUUUCGGUGGGGACAAAAAGUGGCGGGAUAACACCCUGCUAUCUUGAUUUAACCCAUAGAAGAAGCACCGGCUAACUCUGUGCCAGCAGCCGCGGUAAUACAGAGGGUGCAAGCGUUAAUCGGAAUUACUGGGCGUAAAGCGCACGUAGGCGGCGUGAUAAGUUGGAUGUGAAAUCCCCGGGCUUAACUUGGGAAUUGCAUUCAAGACUGUCGCGCUAGAGUAUGGGAGAGAGAAGUGGAAUUCCAGGUGUAGCGGUGAAAUGCGUAGAUAUCUGGAGGAACAUCAGUGGCGAAGGCGGCUUCUUGGCCCAAUACUGACGCUGAGGUGCGAAAGCGUGGGGAUCAAACAGGAUUAGAUACCCUGGUAGUCCACGCUGUAAACGAUGAGAACUAGACGUUGGAAGGAUCUGCCUUUCAGUGUCGCAGCUAACGCGAUAAGUUCUCCGCCUGGGGAGUACGGCCGCAAGGUUAAAACUCAAAUGAAUUGACGGGGGCCCGCACAAGCGGUGGAGCAUGUGGUUUAAUUCGAUGCAACGCGAAGAACCUUACCUGGCCUUGACAUCCAGAGAAUCCUGCAGAGAUGCGGGAGUGCCUUCGGGAAUUCUGAGACAGGUGCUGCAUGGCUGUCGUCAGCUCGUGUCGUGAGAUGUUGGGUUAAGUCCCGCAACGAGCGCAACCCUUGUGUCUAGUUGCCAGCACGUAAAGGUGGGAACUCUAGACAGACUGCUUGGUGACAAACCAGAGGAAGGCGGGGACGACGUCAAGUCAUCAUGGCCCUUACGGCCAGGGCUACACACGUGCUACAAUGGUCGGUACAGAGGGUUGCGAGCCUGCGAAGGUAAGCCAAUCUCUAAAAGCCGAUCUUAGUCCGGAUUGCAGUCUGCAACUCGACUGCAUGAAGUCGGAAUCGCUAGUAAUCGCGGAUCAGAAUGCCGCGGUGAAUACGUUCCCGGGCCUUGUACACACCGCCC